GAGGGUAUAGCUCAGUGGUAGAGUGUGUGCCUAGCAUGAGGUCUUGGGUUCAAUCCCCAGUACCUCCA
rnacentral:tRNA from 1 species